GACUGGUGUCCCCUCCGCGGGAAGAGAAGAUCCGGAAAGGAGCCCCUUUCGCGGGGAGAGGAGAGAAGCGUCGGGACGUGUGCCCCUUCCGCGGGGCGCUGGGAAAGGGGCCGGGACAGCACCGAGCUCGGCCCCAGGCGCCUCUGCGGGACUAGGCGGUUGGAGGCUGCCUUUCCUAAGCAAACCAAUGGAGUGAAUGAACGUCUUAUUAAUCUUGAUUUAAGGGAGCUUACAGAGAUGCAGGCAUACCUCGCUCUGUUGUGCUGCUCUGUGUCACACGUCACUGAUCAGGCACGUUUUACAAAGUGAAGGUUUGCGGCCACCCUGCUCAGGAAGGAGGGAGUCGUCAGCACCAUUUUCCCCACAGCAUUUGGUCCCUUCAUGUCUCUGUCACGUUUUGGUAAUUCUUGCAAUUAAAACUUUUUUUUUUUUUAUCAUUAUUCUAUUUGUUAAUGGUGACCUGUGAUCAGUGAUUAUGACUGGCUGAACGCUUAACUGAUGGUUACCAUUUUUUAGCAGCGAUUUUUAAUUAAGGUAUGUAGUUUUUUUAGACGUAAUGCUAUUGCACACUUAAUAGACUAUAGUGUGAAAAUAACUUCUAUGUGCAGUGAGUUUAUCUGACUCGUUUGAUGGCGAUAUUCACUUUAUUGUGAUGGUCUACAACCAGACCCACAAUACCUCCAAGGUAUGGCUGUCUAUAUUACACAGUGAAGCAAGAUAAAAAUGGAUGAAAUAAAGAAGGAUGAGGCAAAAAGAAAGCGAGGCUUCAGGAAAGCGAAAUGUGAAAUGGGGGUUCUAAUGAGGUUAGUAACAUUCAUUGCAUCAAAUCUCAUGUACUUUCUGGAGGCAGGCCGUAAAGUGCAUUCUGGGCUUUCUGGCAAGCACAGACAUGAUGUAGGGCUCACUUUGUCUUUCUCACACCUGACAUGGAUUUUCUUAAAUUCCAUGUAAGAUCUGACAGCCCACCAAGACUUUUCUGUGGUGACGGGAGAAGCCCAGACGGGAUGCACUGAAUGACAUUGAAGGCCGCGUGUCCCUAUUAGUCACGUUUAACAAGUGCCGGGGAGCCUGCUGUGGGUGUCAGCACCUAAUAGCAUGAAGAUUGGAGAUAGCUCAUGAUCGUGAAGACCAUCACAGACGGUCUUGUCCCCAUCCUGCGUGGAUUGCCCUGAAGUCAAAGUCAAAUGACGAUCUUCCUUUGCUUUUCUCUGACACUGUCUGGGCAGGGGUUAACGCACAGCAGGCAGGCAAGGAGAUGCCUUUACUGUCAGGAAAUAGUUACGCUCCCCCACCCCCACCCCCACCCCGCCCCAAGCAGUGUAGCACAGAGGCUUGUUAUAACCAUGGUACCAUACUUUGUAAAUAGUGUCUUUGCCUUUUUUUUCUUUUUUUAAACCAUUGGGAGUGAGUGCGUUAACAAUGCCUAUAUGAUUUUCCUUGAUGCUUUAUUUCAGGAAAGCUCCUUUCGUGUGCUAACACGUUUUACUUUUGAAAAUACCAUGGUUCCUAUAAAUGGUUUAAUUUUACAUUGUCUUGUCAAGUACCGAACGUAGAGCAUAGCUUUAGACGCAUGACAUAUAGGAAGAUCGAUCAGUGAACACAUUUUUUUAAAGUACCAGUUGUAUGUCAACUGUUAAGCAAAUUAUAACAUUAUUAUUACUUUGUAGAAGGUAAAGUAUGGAAGGAAUUUAAUCAGAGUACAUGUCCAUAGGAGUUAAGCUAGUGAUGCUAAACUUCUGUAACAUUUUUGUAAUAUUGAAAGUAAUGGGAAAUAACCUAAGUUCUUCCAAAUACAUUAAAUUAACAUUCAUCAGCUGCCAGGACUAACUAGUCUCUCCAUAUCUGUCCCCUUUCUUCUGCUUGCCAUUGACCAGCCUCCGAAUCUGGCCCCACUCUCUUAGCCAGCCUUCCCGUGUGCCCUGACAACAACUCAAUAUUCUAAAUUCUCUGAGCCUAACUCAAGUCUUAUCUCAUCAGAUGCCUUUUCCCUCACCUCCCAGCUUAGAUUAUCGGCUCCUUGUGGGGGCAGGGAGGCACGUCAACUCUUCCCUUCCCUGCUCCACCUAGCGUAACGAAGCCUGGGAGCUGGAGUUUCGUAACCACUGCCCGCUGACAAGCUGACACGUGUAGUGUGACUUAUUGGAUACGGCAGGGGGGAUGUGAUGAGGGUGUGUUUCCUCAGGCCAAGAGCAAACCUGACUGUCACCCUGCUUCUCGCACCAGUUUAGUCUUGUCUGCUAGUCAUUUGGACACAGAUGCCACAGGAUCUCCCAGGCAGAGCCGUUCAAAGUCCCUAGGGGAUUGGGGUUUUCAUGUAAGGGGUCUUGGAGAGUCCUGGCCUGUCCCCGUGUAAAAUAGCUAGGUCUGACACCUGCAUCAUCUUUCCGGCUUUCUUACGAUUGGCCAGAAGCUUGCCAUCUAGGAAUGGGUAUCGGUAACAGCUGUUUGCUUUAAUAUAAUACAGUAGGAUGAGUACCAGGGUGUUGUGUUUUGUUUUUUCCAGCUCUACCACUCAGUAAGUGAGAAAUCUCAGGGAAGUCACCUUGUAUCUCUGCAUCAGGGCCUUACCUGUUUUCUAAAUCUAUGAGGAGUGAUUCAGGAAAUUAAUGUAGUGGUCAGCAUCCUCACUUUUUAAAAUCAGAGUACCUGGUAUGGGAUUUGGGAAGUUUUUGUUUCAGGGGCACAUGCACACAUGCGUGUAUGGGGUGUGUGUGUGUGUGUGUGUGUGUGUGUGUGUGUGUGUGUACUGGGUUCUGAUUCUUUCUCUGGGACACAGGCAAAAACUACUGAAAGCCCCUGAACCAGAGAAUUCCUGAGUUCUCUUUAAAUCUUAGUGUUCUACAGCGAUUCUCUUCCAUGGGAUGUGUCUGUUACAACAGUUGAUUUGGCAGUAACCUAAGGCUGCACGAGCGUAGAUAACCGCCGUGGGUACAGAAUUCAACGGCAGAUGGUCUCCCGCGAGACUGGAGUGCAGAAUUGUCUUUUUCUGAUUUCUUCAGGUCAUCAAAAUGUUUCAAAAAAGCAUGACGGCUUAUUUCCAUCACAACUUUCCCCAUGUUUUACAGAGAGAUUCCAAUGAUACUUUGGCACGACUGAGGUACAGGUGAUUAAUAUUUGACUAUUUUUUUGUUUGCAAAUGGGAGCAGACUUUCCCAGUAUUCGUUUAGUGAAAGGAUCCACAUUUCAAUGAGUAGAGUCACCUUACAGUCCUCUGCAAGUAACAGAACUCCAACUCAGACGGGCUAAAGCAUAAAAGGGAACUUAUUGACUUUUAUGAGACCUGGCUUUGGAGUUGUCUUCAGGCACAACUGGUUCCCGAAGCUCAAGCGAUACCCUUAGGGACCCAUCUCCCCCUCCGUUGACUCUACUCUCUUCUAUGUUGAUUUGACUCUCAUCUCCACAGCAUAGCGGGAUGGACUCCUCAAAGCUCCAGGUUUACAUUUUGCCAAUUUAGCAAACGUAUCCGGGAAAACGGCGCGUCUCUGCCAGUCGUUCCAGGAAAUGUUCUGUUCUUGGCUCAGCUGGACUCGUGUGUCCACUCACCGGAAUAGGAGGAGGCCGUACUCUCGUUAGCAAGGCCCGACUCUCCCUCCCUGGGAACAAGUGUUGGGGUCAGCACCACCUGAACUCUGCAGAGGACAGGAGCGUCUCCCAAAGGAGAAACAAGGGAGGCUAGCCAGGCAUCUGGGAGGAAGCCGGUACUUUGUGAUGUUCAGCCUCGAUGGUCACGUUCCUAAAGAAAGCACCAUUCAUCCUGAAACCACAGAAACUCGUCAUCAGGCGGAGUCCGUGAUUUUAUCCUCAUGGUCUCAUCUUAAAGGAGAAGACACCGGAACCCUCACCUUUUAUUAGGUGCUGACUAACAGUUCCUAGGACCAUUUUCAGAAAAUGUGAUUCAAGUCCUUAAUAUACUAUACACUGUGGUUUGGAUUAAUCCAUAAAGAAUUCA